GCUUUUUGGCUGCAUUUAUCAGGCACUGGCUCAAAUGACUCUCAAUGCUCCCUUGAGUAAGUGAAUGGGAGUUUUAGGGUGGUCUAGUUGUGGCUUUUCUCCUAUUUCCCUCAGCUGUCAAGUUCUCCUCUAGCUCUUUUGAUGAAGAUCUUUGGGUCUUAAGUUAUGUCCACUGCUUGCGAUUGGAGUAUUGAUUAAGUGCUACAGUUCUUCCUCAACCUAUCUCUUAGAGGCUAUGAUGACUUUACACCAUUCAACUCUUCAGAGGAUCUUGCUCUACUUCAGUUAACCAGUGGUUAAACUGGAGUGAUGUGCCUUCUAGUGAGACCGCUAUUCGCACUUGGUUCUCUUUUACUACUGUGAGGCCUUCACAUACUGGCACUACCUUUGGUACUCUGCUAGGAGUGGCUCACCUAGGGUUAGAGCCGUAUAUGCCUUCUCUCUAGUCUUGACAGUUUAGUUUGAUUUAGGGCAUCCCAUCACCCGCACCUUCCUGUAACCCGGUCUAUAUGACUAGAGCUUCUUUUCCUCAGGACCAAAUCAUUUUCUACUCUUACAAUGAAUCCAGGCUCUAUGAGAUAGUUCAGUUGUUUUUGGUGCAGUUCAGUUGUGUUUGGUGCCUUCCCCUACCUUUAUUGCUCUUGCCUUCCAUAGUUGGUGGACUUGUAGGUUUUAAGAGUUUGUAAAAGCUCAGAUUAUACCAGGUGCUUCACUUGUUUCUCGACUCGUCCAUGAGCAAAAGUUGGCCCCUUUACAACUUUCUCCUCCUGCCAAGAAAGUAAAGUCCACUGCACCAUGUUUUAGUUCUAAGGUUCAGAGUACUUCACCUUCUAUUGCUAGAUUGAAGAAAGAUCUUCCUAUCUCCAUUAUUUCGAGGCACUUAGGCCAUAUGACUCUAAGGACUAAAGGUCCUAAGACCUCUACCUUGAAUCCCAUUGUGAUUCCUGCUGCCUCGGACUCUGAUUGCGUUGAUUUUUCUAAGGACACUUCCACCACGGAUAUCUCUUCUUCCUAGGAUGCUAUUUCUAAUGAUGGUGGAAGGAUUACUGCCCCUACCCUUGAUCAGAGAGAUGACAUUGAGGUACCAAAUCCUCAGGUCGUAAUGACUUCUAUUGACCCUACCACUACUUCUACCUCAGUACCGACUGAUGAGCCUGAUGCUAUUGUUGCACUAGCUACUCCUGUAUCUCCACUAAUCAGUUUUCAUACUAUACCUGAUCCCUUGUCAUCCCUGGAUCUCUCUUUCUUCAUCAAUCUUAACGUUGAUUCUACCAGUUCUCCCCUUAGACCCUUGGCAUCUGUUGUUAAUGCGGCCAAGAAAAGACUGAGGCUUCUGCUCACUUUAGAGAUUGGUGGCCUUUUUGGGGAUCGGCAAGGAUGAAGAUAGCUGAAUCUCUAACGAAGGAGAUUUAAGAGUUUUUGUCUUAGAAGAGUAGUCUUCGCUUGCUGGUGGAUCAGGCCAAUUUCAGGUGAGCUUGGCUCAAAAGAAAAAAGAGGAGAUUACUGCAUUGGAUAAGUGGUUACUUAAGCUAUUGGCUAAGAUUGCCCAGGUAAAGGCCCAGAGGCCUCACUGUUGGAUCAGGUUGCAGAGAUACAAGUUGACUACACCCAAAGUGUCAGGAAGAUAGAUGCUGAAGGCAAACUUCUGAAGGCGGCACUUCCUCAGAUGGAGCUUUAGAUUCAGAGUAGUCGUAGGUGCCUCAACUUCCUUUCUUCCGGCAGCAACCAUUGGUCAUUUAUCCAAACAGCUCUUUUGUCCCUAUUUUAGAUCUAAUUUGAGAUUCAUGCUUUUAUGGGAUGUAGUAAAGUAUAUUAUAUGACAGUUGUUUGACAGUUUUUUAUGAACAUUUAGCCACAUUUAUAU